UACAGAGGGUGCGAGCGUUGAUCGGAAUUAUUGGGCGUAAAGGGUGCGUAGGCGGGAAUGUAAGUCGUAUGUGAAAGCCCUGGGCUUAACCUGGGAAUGGCAUAGGAUACUGCAUAUCUAGAGUGAAGCAGAGGGUGGCGGAAUUUCCGGUGUAGCGGUGAAAUGCGUAGAUAUCGGAAAGAACACCGGUGGCGAAGGCGGCCACCUGGGCUUUAACUGACGCUGAGGCACGAAAGCGUGGGGAGCAAACAGG
rnacentral:rRNA from 1 species